CCUCUUCACAACCAAGCCGCCGCCGCGCCGCCGGGCCCGGGGACCUGGAGGGGGGCCGCUGCUAGCUAGCUUCGCGACCCCGCUCCUUUGAGGUGUGAGGAAACUGAAGUCCCGGGAGAGACAGUGGCAAGGUCAAGUAGCAAAGUGCACUCAGCCCUCCCAGCAAGGAGUCUGCCACUCGCGCUUGAAGGACGUGUUUGAAGAGCUGCUUUCCCAGUGGGAUGCUGCCUUAAAGUCUUGAUUCCCUGGCACUCUUUCCUAUUACUACAUUUUAUCGGUGCUGUUUGUGUUAUGCAACGGUAGCAUCGUGUCUCCGGAAGAUAAAAAAGGUCUCGAUACAAACAUCCAUAACCUUCCACCCACUCCGUCAGGAACAACCCAAUCAAAAUAAAGUCAUGAG
rnacentral:lncRNA from 10 species